GAUGAAGAACGUAGCGAAAUGCGAUAAGUAAUGUGAAUUGCAGAAUUCAGUGAAUCAUCGAAUCUUUGAACGCACCUUGCGCUCCUUGGUAUUCCGAGGAGCAUGCCUGUUUGAGUGUCAUGAAAUUCUCAACCUUUUCAGCUUUCUUUGUUGAUCAGGCUUGGAUGUGGGAGUAUGCGGACUUCUCAGAAGUCGGCUCUCCUGAAAUGCAUUAGCGGGACCUUUGUUGCCUGGAUUUGGUGUGAUAAUUAUCUACGCCAUUGUAGUCAAGCAGCUUAAAAUGAGGUUUCAGCUUCUAACCGUCUCCCCUGAGACAACUUUUUGACAAUUUGACCUCAUAUCAGGUAGGACUACCCGCUGAACUUAAGCAUAUCAAUAAGCGGAGGA
rnacentral:misc_RNA from 1 species